rnacentral:rRNA from 1 species
UACGAAGGGGGCUAGCGUUGCUCGGAAUUACUGGGCGUAAAGGGAGCGUAGGCGGACAUUUAAGUCAGGGGUGAAAUCCCAGAGCUCAACUCUGGAACUGCCUUUGAUACUGGGUGUCUUGAGUGUGAUAGAGGUAUGUGGAACUCCGAGUGUAGAGGUGAAAUUCGUAGAUAUUAGGAAGAACACCAGUGGCGAAGGCGCUCUACUGGGCCAUUACUGACGCUGAUGGACGAAAGCUAGGGGAGCGAAAGGG